rnacentral:rRNA from 1 species
AGUAAGGAAUAUUGGUCAAUGGACGCAAGUCUGAACCAGCCAUGCCGCGUGGAGGAUGAAGGUCCUCUGGAUUGUAAACUUCUUUUAUCUGGGAAGAAAUGUCGAUUUUCUAAUUGGCUUGACGGUACCAGAUGAAUAAGCACCGGCUAACUCCGUGCCAGCAGCCGCGGUAAUACGGAGGGUGCAAGCGUUAUCCGGAUUCACUGGGUUUAAAGGGUGCGUAGGCGGAUUUUUAAGUCCGUGGUGAAAUCUCCGAGCUUAACUCGGAAACUGCCAUGGAUACUAUAAGUCUUGAAUGUUGUGGAGGUUUGCGGAAUAUGUCAUGUAGCGGUGAAAUGCUUAGAUAUGACAUAGAACACCGAUUGCGAAGGCAGCAGGCUACACAAAUAUUGACGCUGAGGCACGAAAGCGUGGGGAUCAAA